rnacentral:piRNA from 1 species
UGGAUCCUCUCACCUGCCCCCA